GAUGAACGCUGACAGAAUGCUUAACACAUGCAAGUCCACUUGAACUUCGGUUUGGGUGGCGGACGGGUGAGUAACGCGUAAAGAACUUGCCUCACAGCUAGGGACAACAUUUGGAAACGAAUGCUAAUACCUGAUAUUAUGAUUAUAUGGCAUCGUAUAAUUAUGAAAGCUAUAUGCGCUGUGAGAGAGCUUUGCGUCCCAUUAGCUAGUUGGAGAGGUAACAGCUCACCAAGGCGAUGAUGGGUAGCCGGCCUGAGAGGGUGAUCGGCCACAAGGGGACUGAGACACGGCCCUUACUCCUACGGGAGGCAGCAGUGGGGAAUAUUGGACAAGGGACCGAGAGUCUGAUCCAGCAAUUCUGUGUGCACGAUGAAGUUUUUCGGAAUGUAAAGUGCUUUCAGUUGGGAAGAAAAAAAUGACGGUACCAACAGAAGAAGUGACGGCUAAAUACGUG
rnacentral:rRNA from 1 species